rnacentral:rRNA from 1 species
GAUGAACGCUGGCUACAGGCUUAACACAUGCCAGUCGAGGGGAAACGACGGGGAAGCUUGCUUCCCCGGGCGUCGACCGGCGCACGGGUGAGUAACGCGUAUCCAACCUGCCUCUGACUGAGGGAUAACCCGUCGAAAGUCGGCCUAAUACCUCAUGGUAUCGUCUGCGGGCAUCCAACGACGAUUAAAGAUUUCAUCGGUCAGGGAUGGGGAUGCGUCUGAUUAGCUUGUUGGCGGGGUAACGGCCCACCAAGGCUACGAUCAGUAGGGGUUCUGAGAGGAAGGUCCCCCACAUUGGAACUGAGACACGGUCCAAACUCCUACGGGAGGCAGCAGUGAGGAAUAUUGGUCAAUGGGCGAGAGCCUGAACCAGCCAAGUAGCGUGCAGGAAGACGGCCCUAUGGGUUGUAAACUGCUUUUAUGCGGGGAUAAAGUGAGGGACGUGUCCCUAAUUGCAGGUACCGCAUGAAUAAGGACCGGCUAAUUCCGUG